UCAGGUGACGGGUGACUCAUCUGAAGCUUAAAUACCAGAGUCUCCCAGGAUUCUCUCUCUUCUUCAUAGACCCUGACUUGUGAACAGUCUGCUGGUGUGAGCUGCGGAAGGCCUGGCCACAUGGCAUAGAACUUUGUGUACUUUCACCAUUACUUGUUAACAAAUAUUGGAUUGGGACGGAUAAGGGCUGACCUUAGUGUUUUCGUGUAUUUUGUUUCAGGGUUAUAUCUCUCUAGGCAGGUUUUAGAGUCUCCGGUUCGACGGUCCAUCACGUGGCUGGCUGGAGCAAUGCUAAAUUGUUUGUAAGUCCAUCCAUAUCCCUGACUGGGUUGUUUGAAUCAGGUUUGGGUUUUGUGUUCCAUUGAAUAAUUAAAACUAUUUUUGAACUUGAAUCUGGUUUUUGAAUUAUGUUCCGCGGCUCUGAAGUACCUGCAUUCGGGAGUCGUAACAAGGACAAACAGCUCAACAAGAAUUUUUUUACACACUGAAUCCAACUGAGUUGAUAAAGAGUCAAAGAUGCUUGGUAUAACAUGGCUCUGUUUUACCCUCAUUAUAUCAAAGUACAUUCAAGUUAUCGUCAGCAAACAUUCUCAUGUCUGACCUUAUGAUGGAAAGAAGGUUAUUGAUGAAACAGCUGAAGACGGUCGGGCCUAGGACACUACCCUGAGAAAGUCUUGGCCAGAGGAACACACUGGAGCUGGGAUGAUUGACCACCAUAUGCAUCGGAGAAAUGACAAUUAAUUAUUUUCUGGAGUGAAGUACGAUAAUAAUCUCGCCUGGACCGAUUUGUGCCACUCUGGAAAUUUGAUGAAGCAUCUCCCAGUGUGAGUUAUUCUAUUGAAUCAGACAUGGUUUCCACAUCAGGCUAUAGGCAAUUAUGUCAUUUCUCAUGCAAAACCACUUAUGGAGCAUUGCAAGGGGGACAAGGACUCUGUUGCACUGUGAGUGCCUGUUGCUGGGCGUUCCUGGGUCAACAUGCCAUUACUAACUCAUCGCAUGAUUGGGAUGCCUGCCAGGUAAAUGCAUUCAUUGACUACCCUGUUCUUGUGCUGAACCAACCACCUCCCCUCAAUCUUGUCCCAUCUUCAGCCAAACUACCCGGUUUCCUGAUCUACAAGCAAUACGACUGAUUCAAUGACCCCCUGCCCAAUGAGCACUGCCAUUGAAUAUUACUUCAUCUCUUGCACUUGAGAACUCAGGCCUAGGUGGUCAUUGGGCACCUAAUGUAGUCAUGAAGAGGCACAGGCAUUUUUAGGGAGUGCUCUAAUAAUGGAGAGCAAGAUUCAGAUUCCGAUUCAGAUUCAACUUUAAUUGUCAUUGUCAGUGUACAGUACAGAGACAACAAAAAGCAGUUAGCAUCUCCCUGGAAGAGCGACAUAGAAUAUUUCAAUAAAUAAAU